rnacentral:rRNA from 1 species
AGUGAACGCUGGCGGUAGGCCUAACACAUGCAAGUCGAACGGCAGCACAGUAAGAGCUUGCUCUUACGGGUGACGAGUGGCGGACGGGUGAGGAAUACAUCGGAAUCUACUUUUUCGUGGGGGAUAACGUAGGGAAACUUACGCUAAUACCGCAUACGACCUACGGGUGAAAGCAGGGGAUCUUCGGACCUUGCGCGAUUGAAUGAGCCGAUGUCGGAUUAGCUAGUUGGCGGGGUAAAGGCCCACCAAGGCGACGAUCCGUAGCUGGUCUGAGAGGAUGAUCAGCCACACUGGAAUUGAGACACGGUCCAGACUCCUACGGGAGGCAGCAGUGGGGAAUAUUGGACAAUGGGCGCAAGCCUGAUCCAGCCAUACCGCGUGGGUGAAGAAGGCCUUCGGGUUGUAAAGCCCUUUUGUUGGGAAAGAAAAGCAGCAGGUUAAUACCCCGCUGUUCUGACGGUACCCAAAGAAUAAGCACCGGCUAACUUCGUG